rnacentral:rRNA from 1 species
GAUGAACGCUAGCUACAGGCUUAACACAUGCAAGUCGAGGGGAAACGACAUCGAAAGCUUGCUUUUGAUGGGCGUCGACCGGCGCACGGGUGAGUAACGCGUAUCCAACCUGCCCAUCACUUGGGGAUAACCUUGCGAAAGUAAGACUAAUACCCAAUGAUAUCUCUAGAAGACAUCUGAAGGAGAUUAAAGAUUCAUCGGUGAUGGAUGGGGAUGCGUCUGAUUAGCUUGUUGGCGGGGUAACGGCCCACCAAGGCGACGAUCAGUAGGGGUUCUGAGAGGAAGGUCCCCCACAUUGGAACUGAGACACGGUCCAAACUCCUACGGGAGGCAGCAGUGAGGAAUAUUGGUCAAUGGGCGAGAGCCUGAACCAGCCAAGUAGCGUGCAGGAUGACGGCCCUAUGGGUUGUAAACUGCUUUUAUAAGGGAAUAAAGUGAGCCUCGUGAGGCUUUUUGCAUGUACCUUAUGAAUAAGGACCGGCUAAUUCUGUGCCAGCAGCCGCCGUAA